GCAUUUUUAAACAAAGGAAAGGACAUUUGGAAAUAACAUUGACAAAAGAAGAGGAAGAGGAGCACUCUCUGAUGUUUACUAAGAAGGUUCCCAAAACUGGUGGAGGGAAGCCAACACAAAUUUAUCCUCGUCAAGAUCCACUCAACCCAAGUCCAUAAGAUGAUCCCCUACAAACUCAAUCACGUGAAGCAUGGAUCGUGCAUGAAGCAGAAAGUGGCAUGCGCACUAAAAUACACAAUUUUGCUUGGAGGCAAGAAAGUCUCCUCCUUUUCUAGCCUACUGCUGUCUCGAAGAGAGGGGAAAAUGGCUCUGGGUAUAACCUCCAGCC